UAGAGGAAGUAAAAGUGUAACAAGGUUUCCGUAGGUGAACCUG
rnacentral:rRNA from 1 species